UACGUAGGUGGCAAGCGUUGUCCGGAUUUACUGGGCGUAAAGGGCGUGCAGGCGGUUUGUUAAGUCUAGGGUGAAAGCUCCCGGCUCAACUGGGAGAGGUCCUUGGAUACUGGCGAACUUGAGGGAUGCAGAGGAAAGUGGAAUUCCCGGUGUAGUGGUGAUAUGCGUAGAUAUCGGGAGGAACACCAGUGGCGAAGGCGGCUUUCUGGGCAUUUCCUGACGCUGAGACGCGAAAGCGUGGGGAGCAAACAGG
rnacentral:rRNA from 1 species